rnacentral:lncRNA from 1 species
GCUCUCAUCACCUAUAUACUCUUCUCUCUGCCCGUCUCUGCUUCCCCCCCCUUCCCCCCCCCCUUUUCUCCCGGCCGACGGAGCUGAAGGGGCGGGGGUUCCUUCCUUGGAGUGUUUCUAGAGCUCGGAGGCUGCUGGUAGGGGGAAGUUGUACCCGUCAGCACCUGCUGAGGGCUUUGUUGUCCAAACCCUGACAGGUAAAAAAAUUCCUGCAGAAUAAAGCCAGACCAGCUGGCUUUGAAGAGAAACCCCCCAGUUUGGGCUGCGUUUGCCUCCUCUCCUUUUCUAUGAAGACCGAGGCUUUGCCCCCUUGAUCGUCAAGCCGUGAGAUGCGUGAUCUCUCUGCACAAGUGUCUGGCAGGCCGAGGUGCACCUGUUUCUGUCACUCUGGAGUAAAUUUAGCUGUAAAGGUAUCACUGACAACCAGACCUUUGUCAGUGCUGGCAAAAGAACACAGAAUUGCUUCCCUCCCCUCCCCCCUCCCGACCCCCUAUGCUGCUAGUUCCAAUGGAAAAUAUCCAAUCGGAAGUCUAUCCAAAAAUCAUUCCUAAAAAAUGAAAUUGCUUUCAUAUGGUAUAAAAAAGUAAGUUUCCUCAUUUCAAGCAGAUUUUAAAAUUACAUUUCCAAGAAUAAUCUUGGAACAAGACAAGUUUUCGUUCAAUUAAUUGUGGCUGGAAACUUUUUAAUGGAAACAUAGCACAUACUUACUUCAUUUCAGGUUAUUAAAUUGUGUUAAGCAUAAAAGUUAUUUGCCAUUCUUUGUUGCAGCUCAUUUGUUCUUUUCGAUUCUAAGAAAUAUUAGAAGGUUAAAUAACUUAUCACAUAGGAGAGAUUAUUCAUACUACCAAAAUUAGAAUGUGUGUAGUUCUGAGGGACUGAAUGUCAAAAUUGUAUGCUCAUAGCACUAAAACUAUUGGGAAUCUAGGAUGCCACUGGAACAUGUAAAAUGGCAGCUAAGGUCUAUGGAAACCCUUCAUGUUUAGAAACUGGCUAAAGCUUGAGUUCUCUUAUCUUUUGGUUAAGGGCACCACUUUCAGAUAAAAACAUAGACCUGAAUGGCAUCAUCCAGUAUCCAAGGAAACCAUGUUCUCUAAACAUGAAUAUGCCUUUGGGGGAAGACAGAAGAACAUGGAAGCCAUGUGAAAAAAACGGAUCCUAAGGCAGUUUUGAACAUCUGGAGGCCUGAUUUAUUGGAGAUUGCAAAUGUACAGUGUAACAUAGCUGUGGAGAGCGAGAAGAUCAGGAUUGUCAAUGCUGUCAUUGCUUUUACUGGAAUCCCCAGCACGAAUUGAAGGUCUCACUUUGCCACCUAGGCUGGAUGCAAUGCAACGGUAUGUUGAUCUUGGUUCACUGCAGCCUCAACCUCCUGAGCUCAUGUGAUCCUCCCACCUCAGUCCCCCACGUCGCUUGGAUUACAGGCCUGUGCCACCACACCUGGCUAACUUUUUUUGUAAUUUUUGUAGAGACAGGGUCUCACUAUGUUUCCCAUGCUGGUCUUUAAUGCCUGAGCUCAAGCCAUCCGCCUGCCUCGGCCUCCCAAAUUGCUGGGAUUACAGGCAUGAGCCACCAUGCCCAGCCUAAUUCUUCUAAAUCUUAUCCUAGUAAUUAAGCCAGAAUUUUUCUCUGCCAAGACCAAUAGAUGGACCAAGAAGUACUCAUCCUUGUAAACUUUCUUUGGAUAAAUUGCUUACAUAUAAUAAAUUCAGAGUUAAGUAAUAAAAAUAAUGAACUACUGUCUUG